rnacentral:rRNA from 1 species
AUACCAGCACCCCGAGUGGUCGGGACGAUUAUUGGGUCUAAAGCAUCCGUAGCCGGUCUUGCAAGUCUUCCGUUAAAUCCACCUGCUUAACAGAUGGGCUACGGAAGAUACUACAAGACUAGGAGGCGGGAGAGGCAAGCGGUACUCAGUGGGUAGGGGUAAAAUCCUCUGAUCCAUUGAAGACCACCAGUGGCGAAGGCGGCUUGCCAGAACGCGCUCGACGGUGAGGGAUGAAAGCUGGGGGAGCAAACCGGAUUAGAUACCCGGGUAGUCCCAGCUGUAAACGAUGCGGACUUGGUGUUGGGAUGGCUUUGAGCCGCUCCGGUGCCGAAGGGAAGCUGUUAAGUCCGCCGCCUGGGAAGUACGGUCGCAAGACUGAAACUUAAAGGAAUUGGCGGGG